rnacentral:lncRNA from 1 species
UACUACUACUUAGCUGUUGCUGCUGCUACUGCUACUUAAAAAGAAGAAAGAAGAAAGAAGAAGAGAUUUGGAAUCCGAUCGAAUCAAAUCAAAUCGAAUCAAGAAACUUUUCUUUCUUAAUUUGAAUCCGUAAACAGCGAAGAUAAGAAAGAUUAGAUUUCUAUAUAUAUAUAUAUAUAUAUAGAGAGAGAGAGAUUCACAAGAUCAUUUAUUAAAGAUCGAUCGAUCGAUCUACAGAUACCCUAAUAAGUGUUCAGAAUGAUCAUUUAAGGAGGAAUUAGUGAAAGAAAUCGUGCAAUUUAAAGG